rnacentral:lncRNA from 1 species
CAGGCAUCGAGGUUACCUGUGAGAACACAUCAAUCAGCCAAGGCUACACUGAAGGGCGUGAAGCUUCCCAGAAAGCUGCUCAAAGGUGGCAGAAUUUAAGAAAGCCAGGAAAUGCCACCUGUGGAAGGAGCCGGGGGAACCCCAUCCUGAAAUACCGGGGACGCCGGGCAUCUAAGUCUGGGUUUGCUGAGGGCAGACUUCAGCUGUAAUUUUUUGGUAAUUUUUUGGUUUUAACUAAUGUUCUGUGGUUAUUCAGGAUGACCGCCAUCGAGGCUGAAAGGACACGCUACAGUCUUUUCAACGUGUUCCUAGAUUGAAAGUUAUCUCUCAGACAGCGUGUGUUGAGGGAGACGGUCUGUGAUUUCAUGGAGUUGGCUGAGCUGGUGAAAAGAGAAGGCCUGUGUAUCCACGGACAGAGGCAAUUGAAAACGAAUCCAAAAGGAUUUUUGUAAUGUAAAGAGCUGCAAGCCACAAUUACCAGCUGAACCUGAAAGUCCUUCCGCCACGCUGGAGUUUCACAACAAUGAAUCAAUUAUUCCUCAACCACCAGGCAGGCUGGCCCUGAAGAAGCCCCCACCUCCAAUAUCAGGAAUGUCCUUCCUCAGGCGUGAGUGCCUCUCCUGGGUCCUUCACAUCACACUGUGGGCUCUGGAUACUAAAAGGUCUUUGUCUUUUGCCAAGAUAUGAAUUCUACGUUUCCGCUUCUCUAAGACCCACCAGCUCUUCGAAAGUGGCUCUCCUCAAGUUAACCACUCUUAGGCCUGUCCCGGUGGCCACUUGACACCAGUGCCCAUUGGCUGACUGCCCACCAGUUGGCCGAUGAGCUGGGAGUCUCACAGGGACAGCUUCAAGGUCUCCAGGCACCAGCAAACCAAGCUCCGUGCACAUGGUGGACAUUUUAAACACUUUCAGAACACCAGACAGUGUGACGUGCGACUCAUGAGCCCAUUGUCUUCCCAUGCACUUGAGGUGGCCCCUCCCUCACACCCAACUCCUUCUUGUCUGCCUUGUGCCCCAGAGGGUGGUGGGGCUGGGGACACGGACAUGGGCUUGGAGUUCUAUGAGGGAAUGAGCGCUGGGCUCACAGGCUGCUCUCAGGUGUUUUCAAGUCCCUUGACCCCAGGUAUGUGACUCUAGCUUGGCGGGGGGGGGGUAGGUAGGGAGAAGGAGAAUGGAUUUUUACUCUUUGGCUCUGUGGGGUACCUACCACCCAGCUCCCAAAUAAUUACACAAUAGUCUUAUUAUUACUUAUAAAUGCCCGGCCUUAGCCUGGCUUGUUUCUAGCUAGCUUUCUUAAUUUAAAUUAGCCCAUCUACCUUUUACCUCUGGGCUUUGUUUUGUUUUAUUUUGGUUUUGUAGUUGUUGUUGUUGUUGUUGUUUUUCAAGACAGGGUUUCCCUGUGUAGCUCUUUGUAGACCAGGCUGGUCUUGAACUCACAGAGAUUUGCCUGCCUCUGCCUUCCAAGUACUGCCGCCGCCACCACCCACCUCUGGGCUUUUACCUUUCUCUUUUUUUGGGUAUCUUUUCUUUGUUUCUUAUUCCGUGUCUGGCUGUGUGUUUGGGUGGCUGCCCCAGCAUCCUCCUCUCCUUUUCUCACUCCUCAAUGUCUCUUCCCAGAGUUCUCCUCUUAUUUAUUCUCUCUGCCUUCCAGCCCCGCCUAUCCUUUCUCCUGCCUGGCUGUUGGCUGUUCCCCUCUUUGUUAGACCAAUCAGGUGUUUUAGACAGGCAAAGUAACACAGCUUCACAGAGUUAAACAAAUGCAACAUAAAAGAAUUCAGCACAUCUUUGCAUAUUAAACAAAUACUCCACAGCCUAAAUAAACCUGACACAUCUUUAACUAAUAUUCUACAACAAGGUAGAGGGUGGCUCAGCCUGGAACCUGUGAUCCUGACCUGAACAGGUUGGGGGUGGCUGCCUCAGCAUCAUUGGCACCGGGGACAUUCACGUUCUACACACUUCUUCCAUUUUCUCCUGCAUCCAAGGCACCAACAAUGUCACAGGUGAGUGACCUGACUUGGGAACACAGAAGACUAUGCAGACAUGGAGGAUGGAGCACUCUUUGCUGAGUGAGAGUAUAGGGAGAAUGUCCCAGGGCUCAUAGAAGUCCACACAACUGAUGCUAAGACCACAUGGGAAUGGAGACAGUACCCAUCCCCAAACGACACCAGGCAGAGACACACAAGGGGCCCGUUUCUCUCUCCCUUUGACUUGAACAUCGCAUCCUUACAGCUGAGUGAGUGACAGGCAAAGUGAGUACAGAUCCGACUCUACCACUCCCACAGGCACACGGGGUGCCGUUUGUACAGCCUCACUUUGGAGUUGUGCAAAAAUAUUAAACAGCUGUUACAGGAGGGCCACAGAGCAGCGCAGGUACCUGGAGCUCUGGGCAAGAAUGAGAUCUUAGGACCCAGUCUGGACCUGGAGAUCAGCGGCUGUACUUUAAGAGAAGCCAUCCCGAGGACCGCAGAGGCUCUAUCAGGCACAACCAGGACCGCUGAGGUCAGGAUCUGACUGUUUUUCACACAGCAUCCAGCCUUGCCAGGACAUCCUAGGUCUGUCUGUGUGGGCAGGAACUUUACAUUCUGUGAACACCUACAGGUGGGUGGCGAGCAACUCAGCUUUCCAGGGCAUGGGAGACAGCCCUGGCAGCUAGGAGAGGCUGUGGCUGGCAACCAGCAGAGGUGUAUAGCCUGCUGCCCAGCUCCACCCACACUGCACCAGAGAGCCGGACAGCACUGCCACUGGAGGGCAGCUGGUUCACCUGAGCUGGCACACAUUCUAUGGGUCUGGACAAAUGUUUAAUGACAUACACCUUCUAUUACUAUGUCAUACAACAGCUCCCUGGCCCUAGAACUCCAUGUGUGUAGUCUAUAUAAUACUACCCCACCUCCAGAACCCCAGCAGCCCCAGAUCUUCUCGCUGUUCCCAAAGUCUUGCCACUUGCAGAGUGUCACACUGUAGGAACCCUACAGCCUGAAGCCUUUCAGACUGGCUCACUUAACAGUGUGCAUCUAAGGCUCCCCUGGCAUCUUGAGGCUCGGUAGCACAUUUCUUCCCAGCUCUGAAUGGGUGUUGUUACCAGACUGUGCCCAUUUAUUCACCCACUCACCAAUCACAAGGCAGCUCUGUCACUUCCUAGCUUGGCAGUUGGGAAUGCGGCUGCUGUGGACACCCAUGCAGAGGUUGCAAGGGAAUACCUUGCACACCUAUCCAGAGGUUGCAUGGGAAUAGCUCUUCAGGUCCUGUGGAUAACUACCUGGGGUGUAUUUGUGGGGUGUCUGGGAAGACUACUGAGGUUUCAAGAACCUGCCCAGCUGUCUUUCAUGGCUGCUGUGCCAUUUUGCCUCCUAGCGUGACCAACUCUUGGUGACAUUGGUGUAGGGAACUUGGCACUUCUAAUUAUGGAAAGUGAUAUCUCAUUGACUUAUUUGCAUUUCCCUGAUGCUAUUGGAAAUGGAGCCUCCUUUCACCUAUUCAUGUAAAGUCUCUGCUCUGAGGAGGAAGGGUUUGGGCCUUCAGUACCUUUUUAAAAUCAUGUUCUUCAUUUUCUCAUUGUUGGAUUUCAACAGUUCUUAGCAUAUUUAGGGUAUCAUGUGUCAUUUGUGAAGAUAUUUUUCCUCCUAGUCUGCCUGGAGAAAUGUCUUCCAUGGAAUACAAGUUUAGUUUUGUUUAGGUUUUUAAUUUUUAUUUACGUGUGUGUGUGUGUGUGUGUGUGUGUGUGUGUGUGUGUGUGUGUGUGUACAUGUGUGCAUGUGGGCUCCCUUGGAGACCAGAAGAGGAUGCUAGAUCCCCUGGAGCUGGACUUACAAGUGGCUAUGAACCACUGUUGUAGUUUGCUCUCUAUCACUAUAAUAAAAUAGUAUUACUAUAAUAAAAUACUCAGAAGUUACCUGAGGAGGAGAGGUUUCAUUUUAUCUGACAUUUGCAGGUCACACGCCAUUGUUAGAGAGGUCAGGGCAGGAACCUGGAGGCAGGAACUGAAGCAGAGACCAUGGAAGAGUGCUGCUUAUUAGCUUGCUCUCCAUGGCUUGUAGGGAGAGAUCUUAUUAGGUACCUGUGGUGCUGACCACGCCCAUUUGGGCGUGGCCACAGGUGCGUGAGGGAUUUAAGCCUGAGGAGGAGACAGUCUCUCUCUCUCUCCUCUCUCUCUCUCUCUCUCUCUCUCUCUCUCUCUCUCUCUCUCUCUCUGUGUGUGUGUGUGUGUGUGUGUGUGUGU